GAGAAGUGGGCCGAAGAUGAAGCAAACGGAGCUUCUUGAGAGUGGGAUAUUAUAAGCCUCAAGAACACGACGGCUUGGCGGGUAUCUUAUGGACUAUAAGAGUAGAGGGCCAAUGGUGGGUGAGCAGAGAGCGAGGAGAGAAGAGGAAGAAGAAGAAUGAAAUCAGUGGAGGGGAGCACGUCGGCCGGUAUUGGGGAAGGAAAUUUCCGAUUUUUAAGGAAAAUAAAUAAUAAUCAUACAUAUAUAUAUAUAUAUAUAUAUAUAUAAAGAUGUUAAAAAAGUAAAUAAAGGAAAUUGUUUGUUGGAGAAGGGGAAAAGGGAGGAAAAGUCGACUCUUUUUCGGAAGCAAAGAAAGAACCAGACAGUGGAUUGGAAGCCCCGGCGGCCUCCACUGUUUGGCUCUCCAUCUCACACUGUUUCGAUCAUUGAUGAGGAUUAUUGAUUGCUUCGGUUUCGUCGGCUCCCACUCCCCCUGGUUUCCCCAAGUUAAUAUUAAUAAUAAUAAUUGAUGCGAAAAAAAAAAAAAAAAGUUCGAGUCGGAA